rnacentral:rRNA from 1 species
CCUACGGGGGGCUGCAGUGAGGAAUUUUGGUCAAUGGGCGCAAUGCCUGAACCAGCCAAUUAGCGUGAAGGAAGACUGCCCUUUGGGUUGUAAACUUCUUUUAUAAGGGAAUAACGAUGGCAACGUGCUUGCCAUUUGCAUGUACCUUAUGAAUAAGGAUCGGCUAACUCCGUGCCAGCAGCCGCGGUAAUACGGAGGAUCCAAGCGUUAUCCGGAUUUAUUGGGUUUAAAGGGUGCGCAGGCGGGAAAGGAAGUCAGCUGUGAAAUUUUAUGGCUCAACCAUAAACUUGCAGUUGAAACUCUUUUUCUUGAGUACACAUGAGGUGGGCGGAAUUUGUGGUGUAGCGGUGAAAUGCAUAGAUAUCACAAGGAACUCCGAUUGCGAAGGCAGCUCACUGGGGUGUAACUGACGCUCAUGCACGAAGGUGUGGGUAUCAAACAGGCUUAGAUACCCGAGUAGUC